rnacentral:rRNA from 1 species
UACAGAGGUGGCAAGCGUUGUUCGGAAUUACUGGGCGUAAAGGGCGCGUAGGCGGUCUUCUAAGUCUUGUGUGAAAUCCCUCGGCUCAACUGAGGAACUGCACGGGAUACUGGAAGACUUGAGUUCGGGAGAGGGAGGCGGAAUUCCGGGUGUAGCGGUGAAAUGCGUAGAUAUCCGGAGGAACACCGGUGGCGAAGGCGGCUUCCUGGACCGAUCACUGACGCUGAGGCGCGAAAGCUAGGGGAGCAAACGGG